AGGUGAAUUUUCGGUGCCCAUAUGCAUUUUUUUCUCAUACACGUUUAAUUUUACAACCCCAUGAGGAUCAGUGUGCUUAAAUUACUGUACCUAUGUGACCUAAUGCUUUUUGCCAAACUUUAUUGGUACUGUAUUAGCAAACCCCAUUAGGAGGCCGCUAUCUUUGUGGGUUAACAGCUCCGGUUGGUGAAUAUUUAACCUUGUAAGAAGAAGGGAUAAGGGUUGCUGAAGUAUCUGUUUUGCCACAUCGUGAGGUUCUUACAUCAUAGUGCAAGCAAUUGCUUUUCCUUCUCCCUUCCUUGAACCAAAAAGGGUAAGGUCUGCUCUCUGUGAUUCUAGAGAAAUAACAUUAGGUUGUUGAAGAAUAGCACCAGGUUACUUUAGUUGAUUCAAGGUCUUACACACGGUUAAAGAAUUUUUCUCAUCCUUCUGGUGACAUUAAACAAGCCAGCUGUAAUUACAGUGCUCCUGUGGUUUAAGCUGUUUGGGAAGGUGAAAUUGCAGUGUCCAUCAGCACUCUAGGUUUCAGAGGAUGAACUAGAAGAGUAAAACAGUUUGCACCCAAAAAUUUUUUGUGACUAGUUUCUGGUUACAUUUUAGAAUCAGAAACACUUUGAUUGCCUUGCUUUUAGAAUCUUGUUGCUGAGAAGAAAUGCACAAUUUCCUCAUUUCGUAAAUUUUGGUGAUUGGUUUUUAAGGCUCCAAUUGUUUCAUGGAAUUUUUUGCAUAUUAGGCACUCAGAAAAAUGGUACGGGUCAACUGGUCAAAGGAAAAUUAAAUCAUUUCCUCUUUUCAAAAUUAAAUCAAAAGAUGAAGCUAUUUUUCAUUUUCUAGACUUUGAUAAUACAAUAGGAAAACACUUAUACAUAUAUGAUAUAAUCACAUACUAUUAGCUUAACAUUACAAUCAAAUAACGGAAAAUAUUGUUCAUGUGCAAGUUAUUUUCAGUGAAAUAAACGGAGCCUAAAUCUUCAAUAUUCAACUUCAGUCUUGUCCAUGCUUGGUGAUGUGCCUUGAAGUCCUACUAUUUGCACUGAUUUUUGAGAGCUGUUGGCAGAAACUAUGCAACAUCUCAUUUCUGCUGCCAAGGCAGUGACUAGCAGUGUGUAUCCAAGCGAAAAUUCAUUGGCAUUCAGUACAUGAAAGUCCUUGCAUUGUCUAUUUUUUAUUCUUUUCUUCCAUAGGAAUCAGCUAAAGGAAGUAGACUUGUUGUACUAUAUAUGUACUGAAUCUGUUUCAUGCCCCAGUGCAAUUUGUGUCCAAUUUUUUUUUGGAAGGCUAAACAAUAAAUGGAAACUCAGCAAUAUUUAGUUUUAAUCAUCCUUUGCGUAACCAUGUGAAGAAGUUGUAGAACCCAAUGAAGGAACUUGUAGAGCCCAAUGCAUGACUUUUUCAUUUUGAAAGCAUAAAGAAAAGCCCCUUUUUUUUAUGUGCUCAAAGGAUUAUUCUUUCAUCUGCAGGUUUUUGGCUGGAGACUCCUGGAUGAAGAAGAUGGGCUUAAACUGCAAUGCUUGUGGAAAUUGAGAGAUUUUAAAUGUGGGGUUGAACUUAUCAAUAGAAUUUACAAGGUUACAGAAUCUUCUGGGCAUUUUCCGAAUCUGCAUUUGGAACAGACCAACCAAGUUAGAGCUGAACUAUGGACUUCCUCCAUUGGAGGCCUGAGUAUGAAUGAUUUCAUUGUAGCUGCCAAAAUUGAUGAGAUUAAGACAUCAGAUCUUGCCCCUAGAAAAAGAAUAUGGGCAUAAUUGGAACAAAUCUUUAAUCCUGAAGAAACCGAAAAGAUCUGUACGUUGAUAAAAAGUGGUGUUUCAGCAUCGAAUGACCAUAGAGAUUCAUGUUGUUGCAAUUUAUAUGAAAGCUUUCUGUGUUAUUUUCCCCAUUAAUCUUCUUCGAGCCUUGUGUACAUUAAUCUUUAAUUUAUUUGAUCUCAAUUCAGAAAAGGAUGUAUGACCAUUUUAAACCCUCGGGUUUUACAUUUCAUGCAAUCAAUUAGGGAUCAUAUCAUGGAGGAGAAAUACUGAGAUUAGUUGAACGUUUGAACCAUCUUCAGCAACAAAAUUCUGGCCUUCGUAUUUUCAUAAGCCAAGAUGGCAUAAAGUUUUUUCCUUGGAACAGAAACAGAGUUUCAUUAACAGGGGCGUUUAACAGCCGGUACUACGUUCAGGAGAUGGAGUCUAAACAAAAAACAACAACCAAGCAACUAGAUGAAGUAUAUAUCUAAUCCAUAAAGUAGAAAGAUAUGAGAAAAAAAAAUUCCUGCGCUCGGAAUCUAUGUGAAGGUACAAGCAUCACGAACUCUCGAGUCUUCUAUGUUCUGUGUCUUGUUCUGUGUCUUGUAACUUUUGUUGAAGGUCUGCUUAGUCAAUUAAUGCUAUGUAUAUAUAUAUACUUUUCCGAUAGCUCAAUGAUUUGUAGCUUUAGAAGGGAGAAAAGGGUGUAAUUUGAAACUUUUUUUUAGCCAAAAAAAUUUGAAUAUUUUGCCUAGUUGAGCUGCAUUUGCAUCGUUGCUUAUAUGAUAAAU
rnacentral:misc_RNA from 1 species